rnacentral:tRNA from 1 species
GGAGGGGUGCCGGAGUGGACGAUCGGGACGGUCUCGAAAACCGUUGUGGCCUUUAACGGUCACCGUGGGUUCGAAUCCCACCCCCUCCGCCA